UGUUGACACUAGCUGUUCAGAUAAAGAAACCAGGUUCUUUGGGAAUCUGUUCUGUGCAGCAGCAGAGAGAGAACAGCAGACAGGAGAGGAGAUACUGGAGCUGUUAUCAUCAGUGUGCAUAUAUAAAACAUUCCCUCUGAAAUGGAAAUGGUGUGAUUUUCUCAUGGACCUGUACUCUUAUAAGACUAAAAAAGGCUUGAGUGUCCUUCCAUCAUUACAGUCAGUUUUCCAGUCAACUCCUGCCGUCUGGUCCAUAAACCUCUCAGAGAGAAAGACCUCCAUCCUCCUGGAAGUGCUGAAACUCCAACCAGAGAAGAAACAAGUGAAGCUGACAGGCUGCUCACAUGAAGAGAGUGAAGUGAGGAGUUUACUCCAGUGUCUGCCUUAUAUCUCACAGCUCAGUGUUAUUCCGUGGAAGUUAGAUGAAGAAAUCAGGUUCUUUGGGAGUGUGUUCUGUGCAGCAGCAGAGAGAGAGCAGCAGACAGGAGAGAAGAUACUGGAGCUGUUAUCAUCAGUGUGCAGAUACAAAGGAUUUCCUGUCAAACAGAAAUUGUGUGAUUUUCUUGUGGAUCUGUACUCUUAUGAGACCAAAACAGGAUCGAGUAUUCUUCAUUCAUUACAGUCAAUUUUCCAGUCAGCUCCUGCAGUCUGGUCCAUAAACCUCUCACAGAGAAAGACCUCCAUCCUCCUGGAAGUGCUGAAACUCCAACCAGACAAGAAACAGGUGAAGCUGAUAGGCUGCUCACAUGAAGAGAGUGAAGUGAGGAAUUUCCUUGAAUGUCUGCCUUAUAUCUCAAAACUCAGCAAUACAUCUCAUACUGUUGGAAAGCCUGUGUAUUACAAGUAAGGAAAAUGUUUUGUGGGUUGAACACUUGAGGGAUCAGUUGGGCAUGCUGUUCAUGGCAGAGUCAACAACACAGCUACAUUGGCUGACUUGCAAGAAUGGGAUGCCAUCCCAAGGCAGUGUGUGACCAAGCUGGUGACCAGCCCAACCAGGAGGAGGUACCAGGCUUUUGUGGUUGUGUAUGGUUCUGCCAGGUGCUACUGAGGCACCUGUUUAUUAAAUGAAUCAUUUGUUAUAUUGCAAAUAUGUCUUGUUUCUUCAGACUUCAAUCCCCCAAUUCAAUAAAUGACACCUUUCAAAAGUGAAUAGCAGAAUAGGCAGUUUGUGUCAUGGUCCUGGGCCAUGUUGGCCCAGUAUUCUUAGUUUUCUUGUAUGUUUGUAUUUUGUUCCCUA
ensembl:lncRNA